rnacentral:tRNA from 1 species
GAACCUGCGCGGCAAGCUCGGCGUGCACAGCCGUGCCCAGGUCGCGGCUUGGGUGUCCGGUACCCAGUCGACACCGUCCCGGUCGGCGGCGGGUAUU